CCAUCACUGCCCUAGAAUCUACGGAGUCACUUCUGCCACCUUUACAGCUGUUGGAGUAGAUAAAAGAACAACAUAAGGACCCCUCCACUUUGGACCUAAUGGAACAAUAUUCCAUUCUUUUAUCCACACUUGAUCUCCCGGUUGAUAGGAAUGAACAGGUGGAUAUAUGUUCACAGAUAACCUAUCUUGCACCCAUUUCUGUACUUCCUCCAUAGUUUUACCCAACUCUACAACCUGCUGCUGAGUAAUUCCUUCACCCAACUGAUUCAAGUCCCCCCUUAGAUUACUGAGUAUGGGAGGUGGACGCCCAUACACGAUUUCAAAGGGAGACAG